AGCGAACGCUGGCGGCAGGCCUAACACAUGCAAGUCGAACGGAUCCUUCGGGAUUAGUGGCGGACGGGUGAGUAACACGUGGGAACGUGCCCUUUGGUUCGGAACAACUCAGGGAAACUUGAGCUAAUACCGGAUGUGCCCUUCGGGGGAAAGAUUUAUCGCCAUUGGAGCGGCCCGCGUCUGAUUAGCUAGUUGGUGAGGCAACGGCCCACCAAGGCGACGAUCAGUAGCUGGUCUGAGAGGAUGAUCAGCCACACUGGGACUGAGACACGGCCCAGACUCCUACGGGAGGCAGCAGUGGGGAAUCUUGCGCAAUGGGCGAAAGCCUGACGCAGCCAUGCCGCGUGAAUGAUGAAGGUCUUAGGAUUGUAAAAUUCUUUCAGCGGGGACGAUAAUGACGGUACCCGCAGAAGAAGCUCCGGCUAACUUCGUG
rnacentral:rRNA from 1 species